GUGGAAGGGCAGACUAGAUUUUUUUAGUGUAUGAAGACUAUAAACCCUAGUAAUCACACACAAAAAAUUAGAAUUUUUCGAAGAUAUGCAUUUUCAUCAUCCAACUUGAAAGACUGUCGUCAAGUACUUUCAGUAAAAAAUAGCUAUUCGAACACACCUUCUCAGUUUUUGUGACUCAUUAGAUAGGUAUUUCACUUGACCCAUAUAUUUCAUCUAUUAGUACUGUGAUUUUUUUG
rnacentral:lncRNA from 1 species